AUGGUUGAUUUGCCGUGGGUAGUAGCCGGUGAUUUCAAUGAAAUCUUGCAUGGAUUCGAGAAAGAUGGGGGUAACAUCAGGCCCCAAUGAUGCAUGCAGGCUUUUAGAGACGUACUAGAUGAAUGUAAUCUGGAAGAUCUAGGAUAUCAUGGUGACAUUUUCACUUGGAGACGAGGUCAAAUCAGGGAGAGACUCGAUAGGGCGGUCAGUAAUCAUAGUUGGACCACCAUGUUUCCCCAUCAUGGAGUGACCAAUGAAGAGUUUUACAAGUCUGAUCAUCGCCCGAUUCUUAUUGAUACUAUUUAUUCUGAACGGGUGCAAACUAUGAGAUGUGAAGCACCUAAGAAAUUUGAGGCAAAAUGGCUUUGUGAAGAAUCGGUUGAGGGAAUCAUACUUGCUGCGUGGGAACGAGCAAAGGACAGACAACCAACGUUGUAA
rnacentral:rRNA from 1 species